GAUGAAGAACGUAGCGAAAUGCGAUAAGUAAUGUGAAUUGCAGAAUUCAGUGAAUCAUCGAAUCUUUGAACGCGCAUUGCGUCCGCCAGUAUUCUGGCGGGCAUGCCUGUUCGAGCGUCAUUACAACCCUCAAGCCCCCCGGCUUGGUGUUGGGGACCGGCCACCGGUGCCCUGCUGCUUCCGCGGCAGGCGCACCCGGCCGCCCCCGAAAUGAAUUGGCGGCCCCGUCGCGGCCGCCCUCUGCGUAGUAGCACACAUCUCGCAGCGUGAGCGCGGCGCGGCCACGGCCGUAAAACGCACCAACUUUUUUUACAGUUGACCUCGAAGCAGGUAGGAAUACCCGCUGAACUUAAGCAUAUCAAUAAGUGGAGGA
rnacentral:misc_RNA from 1 species